rnacentral:rRNA from 1 species
AGGACGAACGCUGGCGGCGUGCUUAACACAUGCAAGUCGAGCGGAAAGGCCCUUCGGGGUACUCGAGCGGCGAACGGGUGAGUAACACGUGACUAACCUACCUUUUAGUGGGGGAUAACCUAGGGAAACCUGGGCUAAUACCGCAUAACACUUACGAGUCAAAGCAGCAAUGCGCUGAAAGAGGGGGUCGCGGCCGAUUAGCUAGUUGGCGGGGUAAUGGCCCACCAAGGCAGUGAUCGGUAUCC